CCUACGGGAGGCAGCAGUGAGGAAUAUUGGUCAAUGGACGAGAGUCUGAACCAGCCAAGUAGCGUGAAGGAUGACUGCCCUAUGGGUUGUAAACUUCUUUUAUAUGGGAAUAAAACGUUCCACGUGUGGGAUUUUGUAUGUACCAUAUGAAUAAGGAUCGGCUAACUCCGUGCCAGCAGCCGCGGUAAUACGGAGGAUCCGAGCGUUAUCCGGAUUUAUUGGGUUUAAAGGGAGCGUAGGUGGAUUGUUAAGUCAGUUGUGAAAGUUUGCGGCUCAACCGGAAAAUUGCAGUUGAAACUGGCAGUCUUGAGUACAGGAGAGGUGGGCGGAAUUCGUGGUGUAGCGGUGAAAUGCUUAGAUAUCACGAAGAACUCCGAUUGCGAAGGCAGUUCACUGGACUGCAACUGACACUGAGGCUCGAAAGUGUGGGUAUCAAACAGGAUUAGAUACCCCAGUAGUC
rnacentral:rRNA from 1 species